rnacentral:rRNA from 1 species
GAUGAACGCUGGCGGCGUGCUUAACACAUGCAAGUCGAACGAGAAGUGGAGACGGAAACCUUCGGGCGGAAGACUUUACUUCGAGUGGCGGACGGGUGAGUAACGCGUGGGUAACCUGCCUCAUACAGGGGGAUAACAGUUGGAAACGACUGUUAAUACCGCAUAAGACCACAGCACCGCAUGGUGCGGGGGUAAAAACUCCGGUGGUAUGAGAUGGACCCGCGUUCGAUUAGCCAGUUGGCGGGGUAACGGCCCACCAAAGCGACGAUCGAUAGCCGAUCUGAGAGGAUGACCGGCCACAUUGGGACUGGGACACGGCCCAAACUCCUACGGGAGGCAGCAGUGGGGAAUAUUGCACAAUGGGGGAAACCCUGAUGCAGCGACGCCGCGUGAGUGAAGAAGUAUUUCGGUAUGUAAAGCUCUAUCAGCAGGGAAGAAAAUGACAGUACCUGAGUAAGAAGCCCCGGCUAACUACGUG